AUGUGUGUGACCGUCACGGUGGUGGCAAUGAAGACGAUGAUGACUGUACGACGCUCUUCUCGUGCUGCAGGCAGCGAGAACACACCUGUGCGCUCUGAACUUCACAUCCUCGACCACAAUCGCGAUGUCGCAAAAUUCUCCUUCCAAGCGUUGCUCGUUGAGUGUUUUCAGAAACAGAGUUUUAUGGUCAUCGUCAUUAUAUUUAAUGGUUUCAGACAUACUGAUGAAAAACUCCUACAAGAAAAUGUUUAUAAAGAAAAAGAAUUUUGGUCAUUAUGGACAGUACUUUUCCAUAUAAAAAUUUCAGGGAGAUUUCAUUUUCUGAUCACUUUCCGGUCCCUAACAAUUUCAGAAAGUCACUGUCAGGAGGGGUUCAAGAAUAGGAGGAGAAAAGACAGAUCCAAAUUUAGGGAUUUCCACAGUUCCUUCUACUUAUCUUCACUGUAGUCAGCUUAUGCUUACUCAUAAUAACAACUCCUACUGAGCACGCAAUACGUGCCUGGCAUUGUGCUACACGCUUUUCAUGUCUUCACAAAGGCAGUGAUCAAGUGACCUUGAGAGAUAGGCAUUGUUAUUACCCUACUUUACCAAUGAACUGAGGAACCUGCCCAAUAUUCUAGCUAUUUAGUGGACCAACAGGGCUCUAGCUCUAGCAAAUCCAGGCACUCUAGCUCCAAAACCAGUGCUUCAACUAGAGGUAAUAAUGACAACUCAGCUUCAAGGUUUAAGAAAACCGUCUCUGGCAAGCAUCUGCCAGAGCCCUCUGCUGUGUCUAAUUUCAUGCCGAGGAAGAUUCAGUAAAGUAACUAGCAGCUCUCAAGGUUCUGCUUCCUUGACGGAAGAGACAGAUCACUCCUGCAGACCCAGGGAGGGAAAUCAUUUCCAGAACACUCCAUUCAGUGUUGUCCUCUAGUUUUUUCACACCAGUGUUGGGCCACUUCUGAACAAGGGGCAAGGUUUAAUAGGACCCUCAGAGAAUCAGAUGACAUUUGGGAAGGCAGUGACAAGCAGCUUCAUUCCCCACUGGAUGCCAGUCUAUCUGUCAUCUGGAUCAAAGUGUCAUCAGAACUGGAUGCACUUGACAAGUGAGGCGGGGGUUUUAUGAGAAAAAGAAAUAGAACUGGCACAGAAGACAUCUGCCACUUGUUAAAGAAGUGAUCUUUUUAAAAUUAAUGUGUCCUAGGUGUUUCUUUUCAAAAACCUUGCUUUCCUUUUAUUCGACCAAGCAUUAAGUAUGAGGAAAGUACCUAGUCCCCUAAAGAACGCUAAUACAUAACUGAGAGACAUUUUAAAGCUGACACCAAUAAGAUUCUAAAGACUUAAUAUGCAAAGUCAUAGUUACCAUGAACAACUCAGGCUAUUAUCUUAAUGCUUUGAACACCAAAAUCUUCAGAUCAGAAUAACUCUGAUCAGGGGCACGCCAGUCCUACAAGAGAAAAGGACAUACAAGAGUAAAGUUGGCUCUUUCCUCAUCCCCAGUUGCAAACAAGAAUGUUUUCAAAAAUUGAUUUUUAAAAAGAAACUUUCCUUUUUUGUCCUGUCACUGGCACCUGUACCCAUUUUCAGGUUGGGAACAAAGAGGAGGGUGGCUGGCAGCGUCGGGUUCAGCUCUGAACAGAUAUGAAGGAGAAAAGGUAAGGGCUGGAGCACUGGCAGCCUGGAGGGGGUGUGCGACAGGAAUGGGAAGGAUGGGCUGGGGAACCACUAAGGGAUUUCCCCUCACAAAGCCUCUGUCUGUAUUUGCAAGGAUGAUUGCUGCACAGAUAGAGUAAAAGCUGGUAAAUACCUCAUUCCCCUACCAUUUCCUGCUGGAUACACAGCCUUCCACAUUUUUUUCGGCUUGGCUUAUAUAAACAUAGACUAUUUAUUUUUUACAUCGAUAAAUAUAGACAAAGUUAAGAAAAGUACAUAUACUCAACAGUUAAAAGUGGGGGAGAGGGAAUAGUAGCCGUUUACUUCUGUCCACUCUUCUGUAUGAUGUAGUGUGCUGCUGUUGCUGCUAAGUAGGCAAGAACACUGGAGUGGGCUGCCAUUUCCUUCUCCAAUGCAUGAAAGUGAAAAGUGAAAGUCAAGUCCCUCAGUCGUGUCCGACCCUCAGUGACCCCAUAGACUGUAGCCUUCCAGGCUCCUCCGUCCAUGGGAUUUUCCAGGCAAGAGUCCUGGAGUGGGGUGCCAUUGCCUUCUCCGAUGAUGUAGUAUAUAGUUACUUAAAUCACUCUGGUCUUGAAGCUUGCAUUAGAGAACUCCAGGUGUGUCUGCCUCUAUCCCUACAGGGAAGCUCAAAGGAUUCUAGGUUUUUUCCAGUUUAAACUCCAUUCUGCAGACCAACAUCCUGAAAAACAUCAAGCCUUCUCUAUUGAACGGUGACCACACAAACUUGAGCGUGGCAGAACCAGAGUCCCGAAAACCCUCUACAGAAAAGCAAAAACAUCAUUAAGGUGUCUAAAGUGGCAGGCUGUUUUCUUACUUGCCAAGUGCGAGGACUGGGCAGAAUAAUUUCUAAGGGUGCACCCCAGCCUGAGGCCACCCCCAAGGGAAGGCAGCCUUCCUACCGGGUUACUUCCUACAGUCGCUCUCUCUGGAGCUUGUGGGAUAAAGGUGCAUGGACCAGGCACAGGAGAGGCGUACGGUACCCAUGGCAACAUACUUAGAUUUUUUUUUUAAGCCUAUGUGUUAUUUGGUCCCACUCCCUCUCUCCAUAUCUCCAUUUUCCCCCCUCUGUUGAGAUGUUCCCAUUGCUAAGUUCAGGUGAGUCAAACGGGAAGAUCCCCGUUGCCAGUAUCCCUACAGGUGGAGGACAAGAUGCCGCUCCAACCACACCUCCUGGACGAAGCUGCCCCUGCAUGUCGAUUCUCCAAAGCGCCGGCGCGGGGGCCCCGGCUAAGCCGAAACUACAGAAGCCCCCGGCCCCCCGCCCGCCCGCCCCCCCGCCCCCGGGGCCGCCGCGACAAUGGCGGCGGCACCACUUCCCGGUCAAGAGCUCGCCGCUUCUGGAUGGGAAGGGAGCAAGGAACUGAGCGCAUGACCCGGGCCACCUCCGGAACCUCUCCGAGCCUCGCUACCAUCCCGCUCAGCCCGGGAGGUGGGGGACGGG
rnacentral:lncRNA from 1 species